ensembl:lncRNA
AUUGAAAGCAGUUUUAUUUCAUGCGGAGCAGGUCAAGCAUUGAGAUCAUAUACAGAUGCAUAAUAGUCACUUUAUACUAGUUCAUCAACCCUUGUUAUCAGACACUAAGUUACAGAAAGAUCAAAUCAGCGUGACAGGUCAGAGUUCACAUGACAAAGCAGAAACAUUGCUGUAGAAGAUUCACUAAUAUUUCCAAGUAAAUAAUCUUUCUAGAUCUCACUGUGUAAUGGCUUUAUUGACAGUGUUUGGUCUGAUCUUCUCGAGCUUCUCCUUCACGCUCUCGUACUCUUUCUGCCACUCUUCUGUGGACAGAGAUGAAGGAUUGAUCUCCAGGAACUUGUAGGCCUGAUUCGACUGAACGCUGAAGAUCUGGUUAGCCUUCAUGCAGCUGAUGCCAAAAUUUUUCCAUCCCUGUUUAAAUAAAAUUUAACAUCAUCAAACAGGGACAAGACGUUCAAAUUUCCCAAUGGAAGAUCUUCAGAGAGGUCAAACAUCUUUAUCAUCAUGGUUUACCUCUUUAGCUGCAUCAAUAGACUCCAGGAAGUUUUCCUUCAUAUCGGCAAGAUACUUGAUACAGUCCUCCCCAGCGAAGGUCUCUUUCUUCAGUGUGUCCAGCAGAGAACCCACUUUCUCCCAGAACUUCUGGAGCUGAACCAGAAUUUGCUGGAUCCGGGACAGGCACUUCUGGACCUCAUCGAGACGUUGCUGUGCACUGGUGAGCUCAGAUAAACCCGUCUGAAGAGUUUUGAUCAUUGAUUCUUGAGAAGAGGACAACACCAUCUUGGAAAUGAAACCUAUAAUACUCUCCACAAAUGGCACGAUCGCUGAAAAUAAAGCAAGACCUGAUCCCGCCCCGUUUUCCCCUGCAGGUGUCUUUUCCUCUUUGGAGCCAGUAAUGCUGUUGAUAAAUUUUUGUAUCUCUGCAUUUUUCUGCUCAAUCUUCUUCUCAUAAUCUUCUAACUCUUUAUUGGUUUUCUGAAGGUUUGCAUCCAGGCCAUCCAUAAUCUUCUGAAGCGCCUCCAUCUCACUGGUUUGUUGCUGCUGCUUCAUCUCCGUCUCUUUUUUUUCAGUGAUGAUGUCGCUGGUUG